rnacentral:rRNA from 1 species
CCGGCACGGGUGAGUAACACGUAUCCAACCUGCCGUCUACUCUUGGCCAGCCUUCUGAAAGGAAGAUUAAUCCAGGAUGGCAUCAUGAGUUCACAUGUCCGCAUGAUUAAAGGUAUUUUCCGGUAGACGAUGGGGAUGCGUUCCAUUAGAUAGUAGGCGGGGUAACGGCCCACCCAGUCAACGAUGGAUAGGGGUUCUGAGAGGAAGGUCCCCCACAUUGGAACUGAGACACGGUCCAA